UCCUACGGGAGGCAGCAGUGGGGAAUAUUGGACAAUGGGCGCAAGCCUGAUCCAGCCAUGCCGCGUGAGUGAUGAAGGCCCUAGGGUUGUAAAGCUCUUUCAGCGAGGAGGAUAAUGACGUUACUCGCAGAAGAAGCCCCGGCUAACUUCGUGCCAGCAGCCGCGGUAAU
rnacentral:rRNA from 1 species